GUUANGGCGAANCCCUGAUCCAGCCAUGCCGCGUGAGUGAAGAAGGCCUUCGGGUUGUAAAGCUCUUUCAGCCGGAAAGAAAUCGCGCAGGAUAAUACUCUGCGUGGAUGACGGUACCGGAAGAAGAAGCACCGGCUAACUACGUGCCAGCAGCCGCGGUAAUACGUAGGGUGCGAGCGUUAAUCGGAAUUACUGGGCGUAAAGCGUGCGCAGGCGGUUAUGUAAGACAGAUGUGAAAUCCCCGGGCUCAACCUGGGAACUGCGUUUGUGACUGCAUAACUAGAGUACGGCAGAGGGAGGUGGAAUUCCGCGUGUAGCAGUGAAAUGCGUAGAUAUGCGGAGGAACACCGAUGGCGAAGGCAGCCUCCUGGGCCAGUACUGACGCUCAUGCACGAAAGCGUGGGGAGCAAACAGGAUUAGAUACCCUGGUAGUCCACGCCCUAAACGAUGUCAACUAGUUGUUCGGUGAGGAGACUCAUUGAGUAACGCAGCUAACGCGUGAAGUUGACCGCCUGGGGAGUACGGCCGCAAGGUUAAAACUCAAAGGAAUUGACGGGGACCCGCACAAGCGGUGGAUGAUGUGGAUUAAUUCGAUGCAACGCGAAAAACCUUACCUACCCUUGACAUGCCAGGAACUUGCCAGAGAUGGCUUGGUGCUCGAAAGAGAGCCUGGACACAGGUGCUGCAUGGCUGUCGUCAGCUCGUGUCGUGAGAUAUUGGGUUAAGUCCCGCAACGAGCGCAACCCUUGUCGUUAAUUGCCAUCAUUAAGUUGGGCACUUUAGCGAGACUGCCGGUGACAAACCGGAGGAAGGUGGGGAUGACGUCAAGUCCUCAUGGCCCUUAUGGGUAGGGCUUCACACGUCAUACAAUGGUCGGUACAGANGGUUGCCAAGCCGCGAGGUGGAGCCNAUCCCAGAAAGCCGAUCGUAGUCNG
rnacentral:rRNA from 1 species